rnacentral:rRNA from 1 species
GCCGUUUGUUUUUCGCAACGGCCCGGUAACCCGUAGUCACCCACCCCCGGAGACCCGGACAACCCCGGGAAACUGGGAUUAAUCCCUGAUAGGUCCUCUCAUGUGGAAGGAGAGAUGGCUUAAAGGGGUACGCGGGCUUCUUCCGUGCAUCUGCUCCAGGAUGGGACUGCGUCCGAUCAGGCUGUUGGCGGGGUAAUGGCCCACCAAACCUGUAACCGGUACGGGCCUUGAGAGAGGGGGCCCGGAGAUGGACACUGAGAGAAGGGUCCAGGUCCUACGGGGCGCAGCAGGCGCGCACCCUUCGCAAUGCGCGAAAGCGGACGAGGCUAAUACGAGUGGCUCCCGCUGAGGGGCCUAGGUCAGCUGUAAAAAGGCAGGCGAAUAACGU